AUGUGAUAUUGUGAAAAAUGGCUAAUAAACACCAGAGGACGCUUUACCUAUAUUUACAUUUUUUGCCGAAACAGUAGCCUAAAAAGGAAGGUCGUCUCGGAAACUUGUGAAUUGUUUUUAAGGAUUGCUGAUGGUGUAGAAACGGCGGAAAGAUAGACAGAAGCGAGGUUUUUUACCUUUGUGAAUAUGUCGUUUUGUAUUUAUACAAUUUUUUAAAAAUGUAAUUUACGCCGGCCAUAGUUUAUUUUACUAUUUUUACUUAAAAUGUGAUAUUGUGAAAAAUGGCUAAUAAACACCAGAGGACGCUUUACCUAUAUUUACAUUUUUUGCCGAAACAGUAGCCUAAAAAGGAAGGUCGUCUCGGAAACUUGUGAAUUGUUUUUAAGGAUUGCUGAUGGUGUAGAAACGGCGGAAAGAUAGACAGAAGCGAGGUUUUUUACCUUUGUGAAUAUGUCGUUUUGUAUUUAUACAAUUUUUUAAAAAUGUAAUUUACGCCGGCCAUAGUUUAUUUUACUAUUUUUACUUAAAAUGUGAUAUUGUGAAAAAUGGCUAAUAAACACCAGAGGACGCUUUACCUAUAUUUACAUUUUUUGCCGAAACAGUAGCCUAAAAAGGAAGGUCGUCUCGGAAACUUGUGAAUUGUUUUUAAGGAUUGCUGAUGGUGUAGAAACGGCGGAAAGAUAGACAGAAGCGAGGUUUUUUACCUUUGUGAAUAUGUCGUUUUGUAUUUAUACAAUUUUUUAAAAA